CGAGCGGUAACAGGAAUUAGCUUGCUAAUUUGCUGACGAGCGGCGGACGGGUGAGUAAUGCCUAGGGAACUGCCCAGUCGAGGGGGAUAACAGUUGGAAACGACUGCUAAUACCGCAUACGCCCUACGGGGGAAAAGAGGGGACCUUCGGGCCUUCUGCGAUUGGAUGUACCUAGGUGGGAUUAGCUAGUUGGUGAGGUAAUGGCUCACCAAGGCGACGAUCCCUAGCUGUUCUGAGAGGAUGAUCAGCCACACUGGGACUGAGACACGGCCCAGACUCCUACGGGAGGCAGCAGUGGGGAAUAUUGCACAAUGGGCGCAAGCCUGAUGCAGCCAUGCCGCGUGUGUGAAGAAGGCCUUCGGGUUGUAAAGCACUUUCAGCGAGGAGGAAAGCUUAAGCGUUAAUAGCGUUUAGGUGUGACGUUACUCGCAGAAGAAGGACCGGCUAACUUCGUGCCAGCAGCCGCGGUAAUACGAGGGGUCCAAGCGUUAAUCGGAAUUACUGGGCGUAAAGCGUACGCAGGCGGUUUGUUAAGCGAGAUGUGAAAGCCCCGGGCUCAACCUGGGAACUGCAUUUCGAACUGGCAGACUAGAGUCUUGUAGAGGGGGGUAGAAUUUCAGGUGUAGCGGUGAAAUGCGUAGAGAUCUGAAGGAAUACCGGUGGCGAAGGCGGCCCCCUGGACAAAGACUGACGCUCAUGUACGAAAGCGUGGGGGAGCAAACAGGAUUAGAUACCCUGGUAGUCCACGCCGUAAAACGAUGUCUACUCGGAAUUUGGUGUCUUGAACACUGGGGUUCUCAAGCUAACGCAUUAAGUAGACCGCCUGGGGAGUACGGCCGCAAGGUUAAACUCAAAUGAAUUGACGGGGG
rnacentral:rRNA from 1 species